ensembl:lncRNA
GUCCAGAUACAUGAAACAAUCUCCACUAGCACCUCUAAACUGUUCUUUCUCUGGGUUCUCCAUCUUAAUACAUGACCCUAUUAUCCACUAUGUCAUUCAAACCCAAAGCCGGAAAGGCAUUCCUGGACCCACUGUUCCUCCGUGUUUCACAUCAUCUAUCAAUUGUAACUCUAAAAUACUUUUAAACUCAGAGUUUACCACUAUUGCUACCACUCUAAACCAAGACAUCUAUUUCUUAGGGCUGGUCUUCUUGCUUCAUUUUUGUGGUCCUCUGAAAUCUGUCAAACAAUCCCAGAAAGCCUUACAAAGUAUACAUCAGAUUAUAUUAAUGGUUUCUCAGUGAAUUCAGCCAAGAUUCUAAACUCUUAACCACAUGACCAUAUGUGAGGUACUUUACCGACCUGCCUACUGUUUUUCUGUCUGAAAUGUCCCCCCAAAUCUUCUAUAAACGGGCUUAUAGUCUAUUUAAAGCUCACUUAUAUGGAGAUGUUUCUGAUUAUUAACUCUGAAGUAGUCAAGGACUGUUACAUUACUCCUUAUUUCUUCAAAGCAGUCAUUACUAAUUGAUAUCCUUAUUUAAUUUUUGUCUUCUCUGCACCUACUACAAUGUGAACAUGCUUUUUUCCAUGAGAAAAGCAACUUUGCCUAUCUUGUUCCCUGCUCUGACACCCAGAAUUGGCCCCGGCAUGAAACAGUUCUCAAAAAAAUAGUUGUUGAGUAACUGAAUGAGCUUAAGCACCACAUGGGAAAGAAGAAAUAAAAGUAAGCAAAAAACCAGAUUAGUCUGCUUAUUAAAACUCACUGAUCUGGGAGAGAUUGGACAAGAUGGAGGAGUAGAAAGACCCUGGGCUCACCUUCUCACAAGGUCACAUCAAAAUCACAAACAUUUGCAGAAUUGCCAACGAUGAAAGACUGGAACCUACAAGAAAAAAAAAUCAUCUACAACUGAAGACAAAGUACACACCUCAAGGAGACAGGUAGGCAGGGUAGACUGGUGAUUUAGUCAAGUCCCAUAUUCCUGAGUGGGUG